UGGUGGAGUGAUUUGUCUGGUUAAUUCCGUUAACAACGAGACCUUAACCUGCUAAAUAGUUACGCGUAACUUCGGUUACGCGGGCAACUUCUUAGAGGGACUUUGUGUGUCUAACGCAAGGAAGUUUGAGGCAAUAAUA
rnacentral:rRNA from 1 species